AAAUCAUCCUCUAAGUUUUGCAAUUGUAGCAGUUUUGACCCUCAAGGCCAAUUUUUGGUUAAAAAAUAACACGUGACACCUUACUUAGGGUGUCACGUCAGCGUAGACCAAGUCAAAAUUGGCAUUGGGGCCAAAACUGCCACAAAUGCAAAACUUAAGGAACAGUUU
rnacentral:pre_miRNA from 1 species